UGGACAUUCGAAUGCCAAGGGGAGGGGAUUCUGUUUGAUGGUGUUAAGACUGCUCCCUGGGAGCCUUUUCUACUGGCUUUUUAAUAUUCUGUGUGGUUUUGCUAGUCAGCUUACUAUUCUUUACAGCCCUUAAUUCAAAAUGUGUACCAUCUUCUUUGAAGAAAACCAAGAAAUGUCCUCUGUAUUCAGCCAAAUGUCUUCUCUAGCCCCAGCUUCCAUUUCUGUGGAAGUUUGGGUCCCAGGACUCUCUUUUCUGUUCUGAGCCAAUGGGAACAUUUUAAUCUAAGAUGGCGGCACUUCUGUUUGUACACGUGACUUUGGCCUUCCGAGAGCCUUCUAGGAGCCAGUGCAGGUUCCUUUGGUGCCACAGAAGCUCAUCUACAAUGGUUACUGUGAAAGGCUCCUUUUUGCCACGGUGUGUCAGCCUGCUGAUGAACAUAACCUUCCAAGCCUUAAAAGCCACUUUUGUCUGAAAGCGUUAACUACAACCUUAGAGAUUUCAGAGUUCUUAACAAAGGAACUUACAGCCACACUAUGAUUUGAUCUUUACCCUGAAGCCAUUUCUUAUGUUGACAAUUUUUUUUAGUGACUGGGAAGAUGGAAGAUGAGGAACAAUGUCCUUUCUUUUCAGCGUGUACUGGCUCCUCACUACUUCCGUAAGUGCAUCUGUCCUUACUAGUACCGUAUGAUGGACGGCUGAAAGAAGCCAAUUAACAUGUCUGGCUUUCAGUGAGGCCAACACAUUCACCCAAUCCAGAAGUCUAUUAGUUUCUACCAGUGAUGUUUUCCUAAACUGUCCCACAACCGCCUCCCUCAGAAUGUGGCGUUCUCUCGCCUGCCGCAGUUUUGUUACCACAGUCUCAGCAGCAGUGUGCUCGCUGGUUUUUGUAACCUUCAGCAGCCACCUGAAUCUGAAGCCUGACCAUCGAACUUCUGGUACCACUGCUGGACUCACACAGGCCUGCCUGUCAGCACUGGCCUAUACUCCCAAGGACCUCCUGAGCCUCCAUCAGUGCCAUCCUCCCAGUCUGUCACAGCUGAAGAACUUCACAGUGGACAUGUGUCAAGUCUACAAGCCUCCAAAGCAUCUCCAUGGGAGAAAAUUCCCCAGUGAAACCCUGCAAUAGCACGUUCUGCCUGCCCAACUAGGGUCACCCUUUUCUCUGGCCACUUCCCCAGGAUAACCUUUUGGAUCAUAAUUCUUCAUAGUUGUUGUUAGUAAUUGGACACCAGGAUACAUUACUUUUAUUUAUUGUAACAAGAUUGUUAAAGAGAUUUCUAUUCUGAAAUUCCCUUUGUUUCUUCAGAAUCUUAGCUCUAAAGAAUUCGUCUUUUUUUAGUUAUGGCCUGGAACUGUCUAAAAACACAUACAUAUAUUUCAGCAAUUGGGAAACUCAGGUAAGAAGAUCACGAUUUCAAGGCCAGUCUAAAAUAUAUUGAAACUACCUCUAAAUAAAUGAAUAGAAUAAAAAUUUAUUAUUUAUUCAUA